AAUAGAUACCCGGGUAGUCCACGCCGUAAACGAUGUCGACUUGGAGGUUGUUCCCUUGAGGAGUGGCUUCCGGAGCUAACGCGUUAAGUCGACCGCCUGGGGAGUACGGCCGCAAGGUUAAAACUCAAAUGAAUUGACGGGGGCCCGCACAAGCGGUGGAGCAUGUGGUUUAAUUCGAUGCAACGCGAAGAACCUUACCUACUCUUGACAUCCACGGAACUUUUCAGAGAUGAAUUGGUGCCUUCGGGAACCGUGAGACAGGUGCUGCAUGGCUGUCGUCAGCUCGUGUUGUGAAUGUUGGGUUAAGUCCCGCAACGAGCGCAACCCUUAUCCUUUGUUGCCAGCGGUUAGGCCGGGAACUCAAAGGAGUACUGCCAGUGAUAAACGUGGAGGAAGGUGGGGAUGACGUCAAGUCAUCAUGGCCCUUACGAGUAGGCUACACACGUGCUACAAUGGCGCAUACAAAGAGAAGCGACCUCGCGAGAGCAAGCGGACCUCAUAAAGUGCGUCGUAGUCCGGAUUGGAGUCUGCAACUCGACU
rnacentral:rRNA from 1 species